GAUGAACGCUGGCGGCGUGCUUAACACAUGCAAGUCGAACGAAGCAUUUAGGACAGAUUACUUCGGUUUGAAGUUCUUUAUGACUGAGUGGCGGACGGGUGAGUAACGCGUGGGUAACCUGCCUUGUACUGGGGGAUAGCAGCUGGAAACGGCUGGUAAUACCGCAUAAGCGCACAAUGUUGCAUGACAUGGUGUGAAAAACUCCGGUGGUAUAAGAUGGACCCGCGUCUGAUUAGCUAGUUGGUGAGAUAACAGCCCACCAAGGCGACGAUCAGUAGCCGACCUGAGAGGGUGACCGGCCACAAUGGGACUGAGACGCGGCCCAGACUCCUACGGGAGGCAGCAGUGGGGAAUAUUGCACAAUGGAGGAAACUCUGAUGCAGCGACGCCGCGUGAGUGAAGAAGUAAUUCGUGAUGUAAAGCUCUAUCAGCAGGGAAGAUAGUGACGGUACCUGACUAAGAAGCGCCGGCUAAAUACGUG
rnacentral:rRNA from 1 species